CUUGCCUUGCUCCUUUUCCAUGUCAUUUGGGAACUGAAGGCUGGCCAAAAAUGAUGCUGUCACUUCAGUUGUUUCAUGUAACCACAGCACUCACCCUGUUGCUGGUGACAUGCUACGCUGAAAAAGAGUGCGUAGGAAUUUGUGGGAAAGCAAACUAAGGAACAAAAGGCUUGCCACUGUCUUUUGGCACCAAAUUACAAGAAACACUUCAGA